UAAAUGUACUAUAUCAAAUGGAAGAGCUUGAAACAAUCUUUAACAGUUAUAGAUACUUCUUUCUGAUGUUCACCAUCUCGGGCAAUUCUAGUAAGGCAAGUUCUUCCAAAACCGGAGCAAAAUUUGGCAUCUUGAAGGAAAUAUUAUUAUUCUUAGCUGCUAAUCUAUCUGAUCGCCUAAUUUCAGAAUCUUCUUUUAUAAAUAAUCUACGUAGAAAUUUUAUAUUUCAAAUUAGGAUUCAGAUACCAGAUAAUUAUUUUUUAAUUGCAAGUAUAUGCAAUAAUAAAUGAUGAAUUAAUUAUAAAACAUAAUAUAAAUAAAAUUAAAUUUCAAGUGGAUGGAUCGAAGGAUUUUUAUUGAAAAUGUGGAUAUAUAAGGCCUCCACGUACGUGCCACGUAGCAACGACAGCAUCACGAGAACACUUUAGUGGGAGUUUAAAUGUUUUUGCACACAUGCGCUCUGCUAAAAGCUAAAGUAGUCUAUACUUCGGUCUCUGGUACAAAUACUGAAUAAUCUUUACUGGUAUCGAUGUAAAUGUACGAUGGUUAUGUACGGAGUACUUGCACUUUUUUCGCUCACCGUGGGAAAAUAUAAGUACCUGGGUUUCUAAUUUCAGCUAUUAGUUCUUAAAUAAAAUCAAUUAUCGACGAGCAGUGUAAAUAUAGAUAUAAAUGUAGGUGCACUAUUAAAUAUCUCUGCAUGUAGAUUGAUGUUUGUAAUGGUUUGUUGGUUACAAAGGGAGCGUCAGCACGCGUUCCACGCAAUUCAAGGUCAAGGGGAAGGUCGCGUGGGAUACUAUCGACUUUUGGUAUCACUGCUAUAAAAUCCUCCCUCAUCUACUCCACCUGAUUCAACUCAGCAAAGACUUGCUGCAAUAACAAGUUUAAUAAAACCAAAUCAAUUUAUUUUUUCACUGAUAACAAAAUUUUUUUGGUAAAAAAUUAAGACAGAAGCCGUGACGCAAAAACUAGCUGACACAAUUCGCAAGCAAAGGGGUUUAGUUUGUAAAAAAAAACUUUCUCAGAGGCUCAAGUGCGCAAAAAAGGAUAAAUUAAAUAAAUAAAGAGAAAAAAGCGUAUAAAAUGUACAGCAGAUGGGUACGAACACUUUCUCAAUAAUAUUGCGGUUUAAAUGCUUCAGGGCCGAUGUUUAUCAGCGUUCAGCCGGCUUGAAAAAUUAUAACUCAUAUUUUAAAUGUUUAAUUUAACAUUACAUUGUAGAUUGUAAGUACAUAAAUUUUUUGU